rnacentral:misc_RNA from 1 species
CAAGAAACGAGGCCGCGUGCGCUCGCCCGCCCGGCCCCGCUCCUUACCUUGCCUACUGCACCGUUUGUUGCUUCCUGGCGGCGGACUGCCCGCCGUCAGGGACGUUGACACAAUCCUGUAUAGAAGCAUUGAAGCUCUGAGAAAACGCGAAAUCGUA